GGGGGGUCUCAAACCAGCUCAGAUUUUUUUGGGGGGUGGUCCCAAAUGACCCCAAAUUUUGGGGUGGGGGGUCACAGCUGCUCCAAAAUUUGGGGAGGGGUCCCUGACGAGCCCCUCCUCAAAUUGGGGGGGGGGCUAAAACCUCCUGGACCCCUCCAAAACCCCCCAGGACCCCCCCCCAAAAUGACUCCCAUGGUCCAAACGAGACCCAAAAUUUUGGGGAGGGGGCCCCAAAUGAGCCCCAAAAUUUUGAGGGGGGGUCACAACCACUCCAAAAUUUGGGGAGGGGUCCCAGACGAGCUUCUCCUCAAAUCUGGGGGGGGUCUCAACCCUUCUGGACUCCCUAAAACCCCCCCUGGACCCCCCCAAAAUUAUUCCCAUGGUCCAAAUGGGGGCCCCAAGUGACCCCAAAAUUUUGGGGAGGGGGCUCCAAAUGACCCCCAAAUUUUGGGGUGGGGGGGGUCACAACCACUCCAGAAUUUGGGGAGGGGUCCCACACCAUCCCCUCCUCAUGGGGGGUCCCCAAAGAGCAAUCCGGGGGGGGUCUCACCCCUUUGGGACCCCCAAAACCCCCCCAAAACGACUCCCAUGGCCCAAACGAACCCCAAAUUCGGGGAGGGGUCCCAAAUUCGGGGAGGGGUCCCAAAUUCGGGGCGGGGUCUCAGAUGAGGCGCUCCUCGUGGGGAGGGGUCACACGGGGGGGGGGUCACACAGGGGGGGUCUCACCCCUUUGGGACCCUCCCCAAAACCCCCCAAAACGACUCCCAUGGUCCAAAGCAGCCCCGAAUUCGGGGCGGGGUCAGAAUUCGGGGCGGGGUCUCAGAUGAGGCGCUCCUCGGGGGGCAGGCGCAGCGGGGCGGGGCCCGGGGGGGCUGCCCUGGCGCCCCCCCCCAUCUCCUCGCGGCUGGGCCGGUAGGAGCCCUCGGUGCGGCGCUUCUCGCGCAGGCGCAGCGCCGCCAGCAGCAGCAGCCCCAGCAGCGCCAGCGCCCCCAGACCCCCGAAAAUCACCGAGAGAGCGACCACCCCCGCGGGCUGCGGGGGGACAGCGGGGUCAGGGGCGCCCCGAAAUGCGGAGACCCCGAAAUCCCCCUUAAAAUCCCCGAAAUCCCCGUUAAAAUCCCCAAAAUCCCCGUUA
rnacentral:lncRNA from 1 species